rnacentral:lncRNA from 1 species
UGGAUAAAAAUCUCCAAAAGGUUCCCAAAAUGGAAGCCGGUGAAAAGGAAUCCGGUAAUCUAAUUGUAAGAUUGAGAAGAAACUACAAGCAUAAACUGAAAACAAACAAGAGAAGAACCAAUACAAGAAAAAUAAAAGGACAAAGACCUUCCAACAAUGAAAUUUUUUCUUCCCUUUGAUCAAUUGAACAAACCGGAUUCCUCUUCGCCGGAUAAUCCAUUGUAAAUUCCUUACUCAUAAUUACUGAAUAUAGUUUCCCUCACA